GAUCCUGGAGAGGGCACCUGGAAGAACAAAGAGGUGUUCUUACACCUGGAAGAGACGAUAAAAGGAAGCUGCCUCAUCUCCAUCUUGUCUUCAAUCCUGCUUCUGACCUCUGGAGGGACUUUGCGACAAACUGAAGCUCUGAACAAAGGAUUGAAUGACCCAUCCCAGCUGUGGAUGUACUC